rnacentral:rRNA from 1 species
UGUAUAAUGGGUCAGCGACUUAUAUUCUGUAGCAAGGUUAACCGAAUAGGGGAGCCGAAGGGAAACCGAGUCUUAACUGGGCGUUAAGUUGCAGGGUAUAGACCCGAAACCCGGUGAUCUAGCCAUGGGCAGGUUGAAGGUUGGGUAACACUAACUGGAGGACCGAACCGACUAAUGUUGAAAAAUUAGCGGAUGACUUGUGGCUGGGGGUGAAAGGCCAAUCAAACCGGGAGAUAGCUGGUUCUCCCCGAAAGCUAUUUAGGUAGCGCCUCGUGAAUUCAUCUCCGGGGGUAGAGCACUGUUUCGGCAAGGGGGUCAUCCCGACUUACCAACCCGAUGCAAACUGCGAAUACCGGAGAAUGUUAUCACGGGAGACACACGGCGGGUGCUAACGUCCGUCGUGAAGAGGGAAACAACCCAGACCGCCAGCUAAGGUCCCAAAGUCAUGGUUAAGUGGGAAACG